rnacentral:lncRNA from 10 species
CAAGGAGCUGGUUAUUGGGCUGUCCAGGCCUCCCAAGCAGCACAGAAAUGAGGCGAAGGAGUUUUCCUGCUGCUCCACUCUGUAAGGAGUUAGAGGGUGAUGUUUGCUCGUUUGCAGAGAGAGAUGCCUUGUAGGCACCUCAGGAUGGAGAGGACCCUGAUUCCAAUGUCCUUUUUUUCUUUAGAAACAGGACCUUGCCCUGUCACUCAGGAUGGAGUUCAGUGGUCCAAUUAUGGCUCAUUGUAGCCUCAAACUCCCAGGCUCAAGCAGUCCUACCAUGUCAGCCUUCCCAGUAGCUGGGACCACAGGUAAGCAUCGUGACACUCAGUGAAUUUUGUUUUUAUUUUUUUGUAGAGAUGGGGCCUCAGUAUGUUGCCACGGCUGACCUUGAACUCCUGCACUCAAGGGAUUUUCCUGCCCUGGCCUCCCAAAGUAUUGGUAUUACAGGCAUGAGCCAUUGUGCCCACCGUCUCUGGUUCUUAACCUUCUACUUCCCUCUUCCAGUUUUAAAGAAUGCUUGUAAUUACAUGGGCUCUCCUAGAUACUCCAGGAUAAUCUUGUUUUAAGGUCAGCUGAUGAGCAACAUUAAUUUUAUCUGCACUCUUAAUUCCCCCUUCCUAUGUAAUUGUGCUGUGUAACAUAGGACAUGAGCAAUUGGUGGGGGUGGGGGUUAUUACUUUGGCCACCACAGUAUUUUAUGCCAGGUACUCAGCUAAGCACUGGUGAAUUAAGCAUGAAUAACACACACUCCCUAAUCUCCAUCCAUUCAUGGGAGGAGCACCUCACCUGCCAUGCUCCUGAGAAUCUGGGGAGUCAAAGAAGUCUUCCAUGAGGAGGUGAUGCCAAAGCGGACAAGUGACAGAGUCGAAGCUAGCUAGGAAGAGAGUAGAGGUUUAAGGGGAAGCGUAUUAUAAGCAGAGGAUAUCACCCACUUCAGAGACUCCCAGAGGAGAAAGAGUGUGUGUUCAAAGGGCAGAUGAGGCUCAGUUGGACUCCAUAGCAGAUGAAAUGGAGAGGGGCAAGCAAUGAGGCUGCCUUGCAAGGCAGGGCAGAGCAGGGGCUGUUGAAGGGUUUGGACUUAAUCCCUGAGGCAAGGAGAAGUGAUGUAAAUGGGGGAGUAACAUGAUGAGAUUAAUGGAUUAGAGACAUGGCUCAGGCUGCUGUAGAGAAGGCACCAGGGAGAGCAGAUGGCUCAAUGGGUGUGUAGGAGACCUCUCACUGAGUUUAGGGAGAGGUUUUUAAAACAGAAGAAGUUUGAGUAAUUUAAAUGAUGAUGGGAAGGAGCUAAAAGUAGGGGAUAGGUUAAAGAUACAGGAAAGUGGGAGGAAGAACUGACAAGUGAGGUUCCAGAGAGGGCAGGAGAAGAGGAGAUUCCCAUAGGGGGAUUAACACUUUCUUUUCUUUUUUCUUUCUAAGACAGGGUCUCACUCUGUCGUCCAGGCUGGAGUGCAGUGGCACAAUCUUGGCUCACUGUAGUGUAGGCUUCCCAGGCUCAAGGGAUUCUCCCACCCCAGACUCCCAAGUAGCUGGAACUACGGGUGUGCACCACCACCACACCUGGCUAAUGUUUCUUUUUUUGGUAGACACAGAGUCUCACUAUUUUGCGCUGAUUGGUCUCCAACUCCUGGCCUCAAGCGAUCCUCCUGCCUAGGCUUCCCAAAUUGCUGGGAUUACAGGCAUGAGCCAUAAUGCCUGGCCUCUGCUAGUUCUGUAUUCUCUAGAGUUGUCUUUACUUUGUGCUAGCGUGUCCCUCAUUGUGCUAAUCCUCUGUAAAAAUUAAUACCUUUUUUUCUUUUCGAGAUGGAGUUUCACUCUUGUUGCCCAGGCUGGAGUGCAAUGGCGCUAUCUCGGCUCAGCGCAACCUCCACCUGCCGGGUUCAAGCGAUUCUCCUGCCUCAGCCUCCCGAGUAAUUGGGAUUACAGGCAUGUGCCACCAUGCCCAGCUAAUUUUGUAUUUUUAGUAGAGAUGGGGUUUCUCCAUGCUGGUCAGGCUGGUCUCAAACUCCUGACCUCAGGUGAUCUGCCUUGGCCUCCCAAAGUGCUGGGAUUACAGGCAUGAGCCAUUGUGCCUGGCCAAAAUUAAUACUUUUUAUAUUAAAUUUACAUAUAUAUACAUUUUUUUCUUUUUGAUACCGGGUCUCACACUGUCACCCAGGCUGGAGUACAGUGGCAUAACCUCUGCUCACUGCAGCCUCCACCUGCCAGGCUCAAGCAAUUCUCCUGCCUCAGCCUCCCGAGUAGCUGGGAUUACAGGUAAGUGCCACCACACCCAGCUGAUUUUUGUGUUUUUUGUAGAGACGAGGUUUCGCCAUGUUUCCCAGACUGUUCUCAAACUCCUGAGCUCAAAGCAGUCCACCCACCUUGGCCUCCCAAAGUGCUGGGAUUACAGGUGUGAGCCACCUUGCUCAUUCUAGUUUAAACUUUGGAGUGGUUUGUGUCUCCUGAUUGGACUCCUGCAAAUACAGAAUUGAUGCUAGGAAGGGUACCAGGAGAUAGACGCACACAGAUGGGAUUUGGGAAUAGGUUUGGUUAUCCAAGGAGCAGUGCUGAGCUCCUUGCUAAUGGGAUAUGGGAUGCUGGUGAUUUCCAGUAAGUGACCUCAAAAUUACUCAGGCUACCACAUACUGUUGAUUGUGAUGAAAUGCCAGUUGAAGCACCUGUCCUGCGAGCUUAGGGGUGCUACAAGUUGACCACUGCAGCAGUAAAGAUGACUCUGAAGAAUGGCAUGGGAACUCUUGGCCUCAAGUAAUAUACCUCUCUCAGCCUCCCAAAGUGCUGAGAUUACAGGCAUAAGCCACCACCCUCAACCAAGACUUUCUUAAACCAAAAAAAAAUUAAGUGAGAUUACUUGAGCCCAGGUGGUCAAGGCUGCAGUGAGCCUGAUUGCACCACUGCACUCCAGCCUAGGUGACAGAAUGAGACUGUCUCAAAAAAUAAAAUAAAAUAAAAUGCAAAUUAACCCUUUAUGACAUUCGCAGUAACUUUCCCUCCUAAGUCUUUGAAUUCUGUUUAAUUUUCACAUAACAUUUAAGAUGUUUAAGAACUUAUGUCUGUCUGUGUCAUCCCUUUAUGUCAAAAGAUGUCUUUUUGUCACUUCCAGCUGGAUCUACCAUGAAAGACCUCUGAAUCCAGGAAGAGAGACUGACUGAGCAACAUGUUAUUCAGGUACAAAAAGAUUUGGACUGUAAAGACAGGGUCUCCAUCUGUUGUCCAAGGCUGGAGUGUAGUAGUGCUAUCACAGCUGACUGCAGCCUCAACCUUCCAGGCUGAAGCGAUCCUCCCAUCUCAACCUCCCACGUGGCUGAGACUACAGGUGCUUGCCACUAUGCCCAACUAAUAUUUGGAAUUUUCGUAUACGUGGAUUCCAGAGGGGUGACAGUGAAACGUGAGUAAGCAUGGAUUUUGGUAUAUGCA